AUUGAACGCUGGCGGCAUGCCUUACAGAUGCAAGUCGAACGGCAGCACGGGAGCAAUCCUGGUGGCGAGUGGCGAACGGGUGAGUAAUAUAUCGGAACGUGCCCAGUCGUGGGGGAUAACGCAGCGAAAGCUGUGCUAAUACCGCAUACGAUCUAAGGAUGAAAGCGGGGGAUCGCAAGACCUCGCGCGAUUGGAGCGGCCGAGAUCAGAUUAGCUAGUUGGUGGGGUAAAGGCCCACCAAGGCGACGAUCUGUAGCUGGUCUGAGAGGACGACCAGCCACACUGGAACUGAGACACGGUCCAGACUCCUACGGGAGGCAGCAGUGGGGAAUUUUGGACAAUGGGCGCAAGCCUGAUCCAGCAAUGCCGCGUGCAGGAUGAAGGCCUUCGGGUUGUAAACUGCUUUUGUACGGAACGAAACGGCCCUUUCUAAUACAGGGGGCUAAUGACGGUACCGUAAGAAUAAGCACCGGCUAACUACGUGCCAGCAGCCGCAGUAAGAC
rnacentral:rRNA from 1 species